rnacentral:tRNA from 1 species
GCUUUCAAAGGAUAACAGCUCAUCCAUUGGUCUUAGGAACCAAAAACUCUUGGUGCAAAUCCAGGUGAAAGCU